rnacentral:rRNA from 1 species
AGCGAACGCUGGCGGCAGGCCUAACACAUGCAAGUCGAACGAAGCCUUCGGGCUUAGUGGCGGACGGGUGAGUAACACGUGGGAACGUACCUUUUGGUUCGGAACAACUCAGGGAAACUUGAGCUAAUACCGGAUGAGCCCUUCGGGGGAAAGAUUUAUCGCCAUUAGAGCGGCCCGCGUUAGAUUAGCUAGUUGGUGAGGUAAAGGCUCACCAAGGCUACGAUCUAUAGCUGGUCUGAGAGGAUGGUCAGCCACACUGGGACUGAGACACGGCCCAGACUCCUACGGGAGGCAGCAGUGGGGAAUCUUGAGCAAUGGGCGAAAGCCUGACGCAGCCAUGCCGCGUGAAUGAUGAAGGUCUUAGGAUUGUAAAAUUCUUUUACCAGGGACGAAAAUGACGAUACCUGGAGAAAAAGCCCCGGCUAACUUCGUGCCAGCCGCCGCCGUAACAC